UACGAAGGGGGCAAGCGUUACUCGGAAUUACUGGGCGUAAAGCGUGCGUAGGUGGUGAGUUAAGUCUGUCGUGAAAGCCCCGGGCUCAACCUGGGAAUGGCGAUGGAUACUGGCUCGCUAGAGUGCGGUAGAGGAGAGUGGAAUUCCCGGUGUAGCAGUGAAAUGCGUAGAGAUCGGGAGGAACAUCAGUUGCGAAGGCGGCUCUCUGGACCAGCACUGACACUGAGGCACGAAAGCGUGGGGAGCAAACAGG
rnacentral:rRNA from 1 species